CGUAGGGGGCAAGCGUUGUCCGGAUUUAUUGGGCGUAAAGAGCUCGUAGGCGGCUCUGUAAGUCGGGUGUGAAACCUCCAGGCUCAACCUGGAGACGCCACCCGAUACUGCUGUGGCUUGAGUCCGGUAGAGGAGCGUAGAAUUCCUGGUGUAGCGGUGAAAUGCGCAGAUAUCAGGAGGAAUACCAGCGGCGAAGGCGGCGCUCUGGGCCGGAACUGACGCUGAGGAGCGAAAGCGUGGGUAGCAAACAGGAUUAGAUACCCUGGUAGUCCACGCCGUAAACGUUGGGCACUAGGUGUGGGUCCUUACCAACGGGAUCCGUGCCGUAGCUAACGCAUUAAGUGCCCCGCCUGGGGAGUACGGCCGCAAGGCUA
rnacentral:rRNA from 1 species